UACGUAGGGUGCAAGCGUUAAUCGGAAUUACUGGGCGUAAAGCGUGCGCAGGCGGUCUUGCAAGACAGAUGUGAAAUCCCCGGGCUCAACUUGGGAACUGCAUUUGUGACUGCAUUGCUGGAGUGCGGCAGAGGGGGAUGGAAUUCCGCGUGUAGCAGUGAAAUGCGUAGAUAUGCGGAGGAACACCGAUGGCGAAGGCAAUCCCCUGGGCCUGCACUGACGCUCAUGCACGAAAGCGUGGGGAGCAAACAGG
rnacentral:rRNA from 1 species